CAGGUAGGAUGCUAGGCAGCAGGUAACCUUUAUUUCAAUCUCUCAGCACAGAAUUAUCGAAGAAAUAUCUCCUUCUUCUUCCCCUCCAAAAACAUACAUUUCCAAAAUAGUGGAACUUGUUUACUUAAAGUGGAAUCUUCCAUGUUGAGCACCUUAAUCAAUCUUCAGAAACACAAGGGAGACUCCAAUGCCAAAUAAAGGCUAUAAAUCUAAAUUGUUUGGCAUAAUAAAGAUGAGAUGGAGCAAGUGACUAAGCAGAGGAGUUGAAAAAUGUGAGUGAAGUACAGAAGGUAAGAUGAGGAUAAGCCUCAGAACAGAAGGCUCAAAUAAUCAGAUAAAAUUGAUCAGGUCAUCUGGAAUUGCUCAAAUGUUCCUCCUUGAAAACUGUGAGCCUGGAUUAACGUUCCAUAAGCCAGGGAUGAGGAAAGGUAUUCAGUGUGGACUAUGGCACAACCAAUGGCUACCUCAUCAGGGUACCUGGACUUACAAAGAUUAUUCUACUAGCUAAAGUUCAAGAAUAUGAACACAGACAAACUAGAACCAAAGUCAAAAUUAGGAAAUAAGUAUAGAGAAAAGUCAUUGUCAAGGCUGAAGGAUGGAGGUGAGGAAGAUUCCUUAAAGACUGAGGCUUUAAUAAGGUGUUCUUCAAAUCACAUUUGGAUGCUGAGGUGGUUCCAGUGAAAUUUACCAGUAAGGUGGUUUUGAAUAAACCAUCUUGAAAAUUCAGUAAAUCAGUGCUUCCUAUGAAGCAGGAGGACGAGACUCAGUUAGCUAGGAAAAUCUGUGCCCAUACUACUCAGAUUUCUGCCGUGAUUUACCAUGACAGAAAGUUUGGCAUGGUCUUCAUACAUCCUGGCAUACUUUAAGUUAGUUUGCUCUACUCAAACCAGCUUCUUUUACAAGAGCUCAUCAAAUGCCAGACUUUGCUAAAAUUUGAGGAGACGGAGAAGAUGAAUUUGAAUCCAUUCUCUAGGGAUGCUCUCAACAAAGUGGAGUAUCACAGCUGCCCAUUUUAGAAUUCUCUACCAUGA
rnacentral:lncRNA from 1 species